rnacentral:tRNA from 1 species
GGUGGCACAGUGGUUAAGCGUUUGGCUGCUAACCAAAAUGUUGGCAGUUCAAAUCUACCAGCCA